rnacentral:rRNA from 1 species
AGAGUUUGAUCCUGGCUCAGGAUGAACGCUGGCGGCGUGCUUAACACAUGCAAGUCGAACGAUGAAGCCCAGCUUGCUGGGUGGAUUAGUGGCGAACGGGUGAGUAACACGUGAGUAACCUGCCCUUAACUCUGGGAUAAGCCUGGGAAACUGGGUCUAAUACCGGAUAGGAGCGUCCACCGCAUGGUGGGUGUUGGAAAGAUUUAUCGGUUUUGGAUGGACUCGCGGCCUAUCAGCUUGUUGGUGAGGUAAUGGCUCACCAAGGCGACGACGGGUAGCCGGCCUGAGAGGGUGACCGGCCACACUGGGACUGAGACACGGCCCAGACUCCUACGGGAGGCGAC